AGUAAGAAGAGACAGGAAACAUUUUUAUCCCGAAGACCUAUUAUCAUGCACUUUGUUUUGGCCAACUCUUGGAUAGAGCUACAGCUUGUGACACAGUGGAAGAAAUAGGUUGUUUCAGAAACUCUGACAGUGGAAGAAACAGGUUGUUUCAGAAACUCUGACAGUGGAAGAAACAGGUUGUUUCAGAAACUCUGACAGUGGAAGAAAUAGGUUGUUUCAGAUACUCUGACAGUGGAAGAAAUAGGUUGUUUCAGAAACUCUGACAGUGGAAGAAAUAGGUUGUUUCAGAAACUCUGACAGUGGAAGAAAUAGGUUGUUUCAGAUACUCUGACAGUGGAAGAAAUAGGUUGUUUCAGAUACUCUGACAGUGGAACAAAUAUGUUGUUUCAGAAACUUUGACAGUGGAAGAAAUAGGUUGUUUCAGAUACUCUGACAGUGGAAGAAAUAGGUUGUUUCAGAUACUCUGACAGUGGAAGAAAUAGGUUGUUUCAGAUACUCUGACAGUGGAAGAAAUAGGUUGUUUCAGAUACUCUGACAGUGGAAGAAAUAGGUUGUUUCAGAUACUCUGACAGUGGAAGAAAUAGGUUGUUUCAGAAACUUUGACAGUGGAAGAAACAGGUUGUUUCAGAAACUCUGACAGUGGAAGAAACAGGUUGUUUCAGAAACUCUGACAGUGGAAGAAAUAGGUUGUUUCAGAAACUCUGACAGUGGAAGAAAUAGGUUGUUUCAGAAACUCUGACAGUGGAAGAAAUAGGUUGUUUCAGAUACUCUGACAGUGGAAGAAAUAGGUUGUUUCAGAAACUCUGACAGUGGAAGAAAUAGGUUGUUUCAGAAACUCUGACAGUGGAAGAAAUAGGUUGUUUCAGAUACUCUGACAGUGGAAGAAAUAGGUUGUUUCAGAAACUCUGACAGUGGAAGAAAUAGGUUGUUUCAGAUACUCUGACAGUGGAAGAAAUAGGUUGUUUCAGAAACUCUGACAGUGGAAGAAAUAGGUUGUUUCAGAUACUCUGACAGUGGAAGAAAUAGGUUGUUUCAGAUACUCUGACAGUGGAAGAAAUAGGUUGUUUCAGAUACUCUGACAGUGGAAGAAAUAGGUUGUUUCAGAAACUCUGACAGUGGAAGAAAUAGGUUGUUUCAGAUACUCUGACAGUGGAAGAAAUAGGUUGUUUCAGAAACUCUGACAGUGGAAGAAAUAGGUUGUUUCAGAUACUCUGACAGUGGAAGAAAUAGGUUGUUUCAGAAACUCUGACAGUGGAAGAAAUAGGUUGUUUCAGAUACUCUGACAGUGGAAGAAAUAGGUUGUUUCAGAAACUUUGACAGUGGAAGAAAUAGGUUGUUUCAGAUACUCUGACAGUGGAAGAAAUAGGUUGUUUCAGAUACUCUGACAGUGCUUGCCCUCUUGUAAUUCCAGGUGACGUUGUAGUUGAAGUUAGGGUUGUGUGUGGUGCAGUGGAUUCUCAGCUUCUCUCCCACGAUACGAACAUACUCAUCCUUCUCCAGG